UAAGCUAAUGGGGUCUCCCCGCAUGAGUUCAAAUCUCAUAGGUGUCG
rnacentral:tRNA from 1 species